rnacentral:rRNA from 1 species
AGAGUUUGAUCCUGGCUCAGAGCGAACGCUGGCGGCAGGCCUAACACAUGCAAGUCGAACGGACCUUUCGGGGUUAGUGGCGGACGGGUGAGUAACACGUGGGAACGUGCCUUUAGGUUCGGAAUAAGCUCGGGAAACUGGGUCUAAUACCGAAUGUGCCCUUCGGGGGAAAGAUUUAUCGCCUUUAGAGCGGCCCGCGUCUGAUUAGCUAGUUGGUAGUGUAAUGGACUACCAAGGCGACGAUCAGUAGCUGGUCUGAGAGGAUGACCAGCCACAUUGGGACUGAGACACGGCCCAAACUCCUACGGGAGGCAGCAGUGGGGAAUCUUGCGCAAUGGGCGAAAGCCUGACGCAGCCAUGCCGCGUGUAUGAUGAAGGUCUUAGGAUUGUAAAAUACUUUCACCGGUGAAGAUAAUGACUGUAGCCGGAGAAGAAGCCCCGGCUAACUUCGUGCCAGCAGCCGCGGUAAUACGAAGGGGGCUAGCGUUGCUCGGAAUUACUGGGCGUAAAGGGAGCGUAGGCGGACAUUUAAGUCAGGGGUGAAAUCCCAGAGCUCAACUCUGGAACUGCCUUUGAUACCGGGUGUCUUGAGUGUGAUAGAGGUAUGUGGAACUCCGAGUGUAGAGGUGAAAUUCGUAGAUAUUCGGAAGAACACCAGUGGCGAAGGCGACAUACUGGAUCAUUACUGACGCUGAGGCUCGAAAGCGUGGGGAGCAAACAGGAUUAGAUACCCUGGUAGUCCACGCCGUAAACGAUGAUUGCUAGUUGUCGGGGAGUUUACUUCUCGGUGACGCAGCUAACGCAUAAGCAUCCGCCUGGA